rnacentral:lncRNA from 1 species
GAUGCUUAGGUCAUGGCAUAACUUGGUGAGACCAACCGUGAAGACCGAUCCUCUUUCUGACAACAAAGCUGACACAUCUCCAUCUGUCACCAAACAAAUCUAGCAGCAGAUGCUGUGCUCUCUCGCACAAUAGAUAGAAUAUAGAAGUGUGUAGUGUACAUAUUCAUUUUACAACACACGUCUCAUUUCCAAAAGUUCUGCACCAUGUGUGUGAAAACAAGUAGAGUACUUUUUUUAGGUAAAAGGGUUUCCCCUGAUUUUCAUUAAGAAAACCAUCAAUUCUACAUCAUUCACCACCGCAACGCACCAGCAUUUGAGCAUCAAAAGAGAAAGACAGUACGAGUUUAUAAAGUGCAUUACAGAAAGAACACCUAACAUGUUGAAAACCGAAGACAAUACUAGCUUUGGAGAAAACAGUCUAAGCUUCUCCGGCAGGAUCUCAAACUGUCAGCCUCCGGAUCCAGGUCUUCCAACUUCUGCUAGCGCUGAACAAUCACAACCUACUUGUGCUACAAGUCUUGCACGCCACCGCAGCCAGUCCUUUGUGUCCUCAUUCCCCUGCAAUAAAAUCCAAUAAUCUAUCCAUUUGCAUAUCUGAAAAGUCAUAUUAAUCGGCCCGUCAGCGUUUGCAAAGUGGUAAUCAAAACUAAAAGCACAGCUGGCAACAUUCCAUACAUGUCUAGCCAUGGGGACAGGUAAAAAAAGGUGAGAGAUAGAUUCAUCCCCACUGCAAAACAAGCAUUGUUUGAUACACUUUCCACCUCUAUGGAUCUGAACAUCUCCGGUUAGUAUACUCUGAUUAAGCACUAGCCAAAUGGAUUUUUUGAUUCUUAAAGGCAUUCUCAUCUUCCACAUGAUUUUUUAUCGAACAGUAUACAAUGGUGUCGCAAGGCAUGUAGAAAUAUUUUACAGAGAAAGAUGCAUAAACGGUUAGUUUCCAAACCAACUUAUCUGAAUCUUCUGCCAAAACCACCUGGCUACAAAUGUCAUUCAGCUUAGUCAACUGUUCAUUCCUAGCAGGCUAGCACCAACCAGAGCACGUCGAAAUUGAAGGGAAUUUAAACCAACAACAAACACAUCAUGCACUGAAAUGUUUAAGAUGAGAAAAAUAGCAUAAAGUGUGGGAAAGGAAGCUGCCAGAAAACAAGUACUAGCCGGCCUCCUUGCUUCGCUUCUUUGACACACGCCCAAGGUCAUCUACGUUAGUCUAGGUGCAGCUGACAUAGCACGAAGAUCCUCAAAAACUAAAAGUAACAGCUAUUUUGAUCAAUUGCCUGAAGCCUGCGAGACAAAUUAAAGUACAUGCAUCUUGUGUUGGUUCAUCUUGGUAGUUUUCUCUCUUUGAGAAAUUCAUCUUAGUAGUUGAGUAUAUGUACGGAUGCAAGGUCCGGUGAGAGUUCAGCUGAAUGGCAAGCCAGGAGGGAACAGCAUGCGCGAGCAACCGGCACACUAGGUGGUGCAGCCUGACACGUUGGUGAAGAUGAGGUUGGUUGCUCUUUUUUACAUAAUUGUGGCGUAUUGGUUGAGGAAGUGAGACAUCAAGUUUACUUGACAACUUGACUUUUAAUUUGUGCCAUGCCAAAUUUUCUUGGACAAGUGACUUUCGGGAACAAGGGGGUUCGGUAUGAAAUCUUGCCUAGAAAUAACUACCAAAACUAAGAAGGAUACAUUCCCUGACCGCAGAAAUCAUUGACUAACUAUAGAUUGAUACUCCAUUGACGACGAAGAACACACCAUCAAGUUUUUAAUAACGCAAAAAUCUUAGAGGUCAAGAAUAUCAAGUACACACCAGGGCAGCAGGGCUAGCACCCCUCCCGCG